ensembl:lncRNA
AGAUUUAUAAGAAGACUUAGCUGAAGAAUUCCCACUGCUCUCAGUCAAGUUCCUCCCACCUAAUAUAACUGCUCUACUCCAGCGCAUUAUAGCUAACUUUAAGAAGCUAUACACCAAGGAACUAUUCAUGAAGUGCUUCCAGACGGUCUCAGAUACAGAUUUCUUUAAUCCUUAAAGAGUUAUGUAAGGAACAUUAAAACAUCCUUUCUUAUGUGAGAUUACUUGAGAGAUCCUGGGCCAACAUUUCUCUAAAGACACUGAGAUUGGCUCAACUGAAAGUGUGGCCUAAAAUUAUACAGGAGAGAGACUCUGAAGGCUAUAUAGAGGAGCCUGAGUCUUCAAUUGACCAUGUGGUUGAUCACAUUGUCACUAUAACAGAGACCAUAGGCUUGCAGGUAGACAAUAGUGAUGUUGAGGAACUGGUGGAGGAACACUCAGAGGAAUUGUUUUCAGAGGAACUUCAACAACUUCUGGCUGAGCAACAGAGAAUGACAUCUGAGGAGCUUUUUGACAAGGAGGGGGAGUAUCAACAAUCAGUGCAUCAAAGUUCUUCUUCCGAAAUAAAGGAAAUCCUGAAAAAAAAAUGGAAAACAGCUACAGACAUUUGUAUGGGAGACUGACCCAGACAGAAAAAAGCCAAUCUUUGCAUUCACUUGCUUAAUGACAAUGUCAUUUCAUACUACAGAACAGGGUUAAAGACAGAAACAAACAACCUUAGGCCAGUUUUUACUUCUGAAAAGGUUGAAACCUAGUGAGCCAGAAAUGGGUCCUAGUGGGAUACAAACUCUCCUAAGGAGAGAAAGGACACCAAAGAGCCAGAUUCCUGAUGUUCUUAUAGAAGGGGCCUCUCCUUCCACACAACAGCCACCUUCCAUUCAUCCUCCCUUCCCUCAAGCCAAAGAUGUCAACUUGAAUGUUCUGAAGGUUGGGGAGUCUAAAAUCAAGGUGCUGACAGGUUUGGCAGAUGAAGAUUGCUCAGAGCUUUCAAGAUUGCUCUCAUGUCUGCAACCAAAACCACCAGAGGGAAAGUAUACUACAUCCUCACAUAGCAGAAUGUGGAAGAGCAAGCUAAUGAACACUACUUAUGGUCUUCUUUGUAAAGAGUCCCAAUCCAUUCACUAGCUAGGAGCCCAAAUGACCCAAUCACCAGUUAAAGAUCCCACCUCUCAAUGCCAUCACAAUGACAACACUUGAAUUUUUGAAGGGACACAUUAAAACCAUAGCAAGCAUUAACUUGUUCUUGAGGGCGUGUACCCUUCACUGCCACACAGUGUGGAUAGAGAGGGAAAAGAAAGAGGGGGAAAAAGGGGAUAGCUUCACCUAAGAAUGCUUUUGAUGAAAUAGUACUGAUUUUUUAUUGUACCAUCAACUUAUGAGUUUAUGUUUUUAUUAUAUUCUAGUUGAUAAAAUAAGAAAUAUACAUAAAGCACAUUGUCACACGAUGUAAAGCUUUGUUGUUUGCACAAUUAUUUGUGAUGCACGUUUACGUAACCACUUUUUCCAUGGAACACCAUUUUUACUAAAGAGAACAACUAAUAGACAAGCUAUCAUCACGCAAAUUGGUUAGGUGGCAAAUAUUUUCUUGAAAAGUUCACAAAAUGAGCCCAUCACUUCAAGAAAAAGAAAUCACAGAAAUUUAUGCUAAUGAUAAUAUUCAAGAUUUCAAAGGGGAAUUAGAAUUUUGGGAGACUCAGCUCAACUAUUGUGAUCUUGACAGCUUCCUAAUACAAGCUUUUUUGAUGAAAUUGGUGAUGAUAUUAGUGAUUGUGAUUUUUUAAAUUUAAUAAAAUGUGUCAAUGCCU